rnacentral:rRNA from 1 species
GGGUUGUGAGGUUAAGCGACUAAGCGUACACGGUGGAUGCCCUGGCAGUCAGAGGCGAUGAAGGACGUGCUAAUCUGCGAUAAGCGUCGGUAAGGUGAUAUGAACCGUUAUAACCGGCGAUUUCCGAAUGGGGAAACCCAGUGUGAUUCGUCACACUAUCAUUAACUGAAUCCAUAGGUUAAUGAGGCGAACCGGGGGAACUGAAACAUCUAAGUACCCCGAGGAAAAGAAAUCAACCGAGAUUCCCCCAGUAGCGGCGAGCGAACGGGGAGCAGCCCAGAGCCUGAAUCAGUGUGUGUGUUAGUGGAAGCGUCUGGAAAGGCGCGCGAUACAGGGUGACAGCCCCGUACACAAAAAUGCACAUAUUGUGAGCUCGAUGAGUAGGGCGGGACACGUGGUAUCCUGUCUGAAUAUGGGGGGACCAUCCUCCAAGGCUAAAUACUCCUGACUGACCGAUAGUGAACCAGUACCGUGAGGGAAAGGCGAAAAGAACCCCGGCGAGGGGAGUGAAAAAGAACCUGAAACCGUGUACGUACAAGCAGUGGGAGCCUCUUUUAUGGGGUGACUGCGUACCUUUUGUAUAAUGGGUCAGCGACUUAUAUUCUGUAGCAAGGUUAACCGAAUAGGGGAGCCGAAGGGAAACCGAGUCUUAACUGGGCGUUAAGUUGCAGGGUAUAGACCCGAAACCCGGUGAUCUAGCCAUGGGCAGGUUGAAGGUUGGGUAACACUAACUGGAGGACCGAACCGACUAAUGUUGAAAAAUUAGCGGAUGACUUGUGGCUGGGGGUGAAAGGCCAAUCAAACCGGGAGAUAGCUGGUUCUCCCCGAAAGCUAUUUAGGUAGCGCCUCGUGAAUUCAUCUCCGGGGGUAGAGCACUGUUUCGGCAAGGGGGUCAUCCCGACUUACCAACCCGAUGCAAACUGCGAAUACCGGAGAAUGUUAUCACGGGAGACACACGGCGGGUGCUAACGUCCGUCGUGAAGAGGGAAACAACCCAGACCGCCAGCUAAGGUCCCAAAGUCAUGGUUAAGUGGGAAACGAUGUGGGAAGGCCCAGACAGCCAGGAUGUUGGCUUAGAAGCAGCCAUCAUUUAAAGAAAGCGUAAUAGCUCACUGGUCGAGUCGGCCUGCGCGGAAGAUGUAACGGGGCUAAACCAUGCACCGAAGCUGCGGCAGCGACACUAUGUGUUGUUGGGUAGGGGAGCGUUCUGUAAGCCUGUGAAGGUGUACUGUGAGGUAUGCUGGAGGUAUCAGAAGUGCGAAUGCUGACAUAAGUAACGAUAAAGCGGGUGAAAAGCCCGCUCGCCGGAAGACCAAGGGUUCCUGUCCAACGUUAAUCGGGGCAGGGUGAGUCGACCCCUAAGGCGAGGCCGAAAGGCGUAGUCGAUGGGAAACAGGUUAAUAUUCCUGUACUUGGUGUUACUGCGAAGGGGGGACGGAGAAGGCUAUGUUGGCCGGGCGACGGUUGUCCCGGUUUAAGCGUGUAGGCUGGUUUUCCAGGCAAAUCCGGAAAAUCAAGGCUGAGGCGUGAUGACGAGGCACUACGGUGCUGAAGCAACAAAUGCCCUGCUUCCAGGAAAAGCCUCUAAGCAUCAGGUAACAUCAAAUCGUACCCCAAACCGACACAGGUGGUCAGGUAGAGAAUACCAAGGCGCUUGAGAGAACUCGGGUGAAGGAACUAGGCAAAAUGGUGCCGUAACUUCGGGAGAAGGCACGCUGAUAUGUAGGUGAAGUCCCUCGCGGAUGGAGCUGAAAUCAGUCGAAGAUACCAGCUGGCUGCAACUGUUUAUUAAAAACACAGCACUGUGCAAACACGAAAGUGGACGUAUACGGUGUGACGCCUGCCCGGUGCCGGAAGGUUAAUUGAUGGGGUCAGCGCAAGCGAAGCUCUUGAUCGAAGCCCCGGUAAACGGCGGCCGUAACUAUAACGGUCCUAAGGUAGCGAAAUUCCUUGUCGGGUAAGUUCCGACCUGCACGAAUGGCGUAAUGAUGGCCAGGCUGUCUCCACCCGAGACUCAGUGAAAUUGAACUCGCUGUGAAGAUGCAGUGUACCCGCGGCAAGACGGAAAGACCCCGUGAACCUUUACUAUAGCUUGACACUGAACAUUGAGCCUUGAUGUGUAGGAUAGGUGGGAGGCUUAGAAGUGUGGACGCCAGUCUGCAUGGAGCCGACCUUGAAAUACCACCCUUUAAUGUUUGAUGUUCUAACGUUGACCCGUGAUCCGGGUUGCGGACAGUGUCUGGUGGGUAGUUUGACUGGGGCGGUCUCCUCCUAAAGAGUAACGGAGGAGCACGAAGGUUGGCUAAUCCUGGUCGGACAUCAGGAGGUUAGUGCAAUGGCAUAAGCCAGCUUGACUGCGAGCGUGACGGCGCGAGCAGGUGCGAAAGCAGGUCAUAGUGAUCCGGUGGUUCUGAAUGGAAGGGCCAUCGCUCAACGGAUAAAAGGUACUCCGGGGAUAACAGGCUGAUACCGCCCAAGAGUUCAUAUCGACGGCGGUGUUUGGCACCUCGAUGUCGGCUCAUCACAUCCUGGGGCUGAAGUAGGUCCCAAGGGUAUGGCUGUUCGCCAUUUAAAGUGGUACGCGAGCUGGGUUUAGAACGUCGUGAGACAGUUCGGUCCCUAUCUGCCGUGGGCGCUGGAGAACUGAGGGGGGCUGCUCCUAGUACGAGAGGACCGGAGUGGACGCAUCACUGGUGUUCGGGUUGUCAUGCCAAUGGCACUGCCCGGUAGCUAAAUGCGGAAGAGAUAAGUGCUGAAAGCAUCUAAGCACGAAACUUGCCCCGAGAUGAGUUCUCCCUGACUCCUUGAGAGUCCUGAAGGAACGUUGAAGACGACGACGUUGAUAGGCCGGGUGUGUAAGCGCAGCGAUGCGUUGAGCUAACCGGUACUAAUGAACCGUGAGGCUUAACCUUACAACGCCGAAGCUGUU